CGCAUUUUGAAACGGGCAUAAAAAAUUCAAAAAAAAAUCAAAAAAUUGGGAAACCUUCGCAUUGUGUCAUCAUAUGUGGCCAAGUUCCUAGGAAAAAUAACAAACUUGUAAUACGACAAUUAUUUUAAAAAAGUGUUCUCAGAAACGAGCUAUCAUGUGUGGAGAUCAAUGGCUUUCAAGCCAAAUGAUCAAUAUUAUGGCCACAUUCAUGGCAUAGUUUGUUCAAAUGAUCUCAUAUUGUGCACAAGGGUGCAUAUUGGAAUGGCAAACAAUGUUGCCUAAGGAAGUUUUCAUUUUCUUUGGACAAAAAAACCACUUUCCAUUUUUCGAGUGCCCAAAAGGAGGUUUUUUUGUGAAGGAACUACCAAAUAAUUGUUGCAAAAUUGGACCAAAUCAAUUUUAUAAAAUACUAGGCCAUAUUUAAUGCACAAUUGACAAAAUGGUUGGGUGUAAAAAGUUUUGAUCCACCUCUCGUGAAAAAGACAAAUUUCCGCUGAUUCACUUGGAAGCGGGUCAAAUUUGAACUACAGCUGCCUCAUAGUUUGAUAUUUAUUUUUUCCAAAAAUAAUUUCUAGGUACAUAAGUAUCUUUUUAAUCAGAGAAACAUCAACAAAAUUCCAAGAUUCAACCACUAGCUAGGAACGGUCAUUCCCGCCGUUUUGACCGCAUUUUGAAACGGGGAUAAAAAAUUCAAAAAAAUCAAAAAAUUGGGAAACCUUCGCAUUGUGUCAUCAUAUGUGUCCAAGUUCCUAGGAAAAAUAACAAACUUGUAAUAUGGCAAUUAUUUUAAAAAAGUGUUCUCAGAAACGAGCUAUCAUGUGUGGAGAUCAAUGGCUUUCAAGCCAAAUGAUCAAUCUUAUGGCCACAUUCAUGGCAUAGUUUGUUUAAAUGAUCUCAUAUUGUGCACAAGAGUGCAUAUUGGAAUGGCAAACAAUG
rnacentral:lncRNA from 1 species